GUAGGUGAACCUGCGGAAGGAUCAUUAACACUUUAUCCUUUAUAAACAACUGUGAACAUGUUUCCCUACCUAUCAGCAAUGAAAAUCGUAAGAGUUUAGUGUAUGGUGACAAGUGGCUCUGUAAAGAGUUUACUUAGCUAACUCGUACUAGAAGCCUUGAGCUUCAAGAUUUUCUAUUGAUAGGCUAUUUUAACCAUCACCAUGGUUUACUCAUUAACUAAUUAACCCCUUUAACAUUUAUUGAACUAAUAUAUGUUUCUCACUAACAGCAAUGUUAGGAAGAAUCAAGUUAUACGAAACUAAGAACAACUCUUAGCAAUGGAUAUCUUGGUUCCC
rnacentral:misc_RNA from 1 species